rnacentral:rRNA from 1 species
CAGCCGCCACGGUAAUACGGAGGGUGCAAGCGUUAUCCGGAUUUAUUGGGUUUAAAGGGUCCGUAGGCGGAUCUGUAAGUCAGUGGUGAAAUCUCACAGCUUAACUGUGAAACUGCCAUUGAUACUGCAGGUCUUGAGUAAAUUUGAAGUGGCUGGAAUAAGUAGUGUAGCGGUGAAAUGCAUAGAUAUUACUUAGAACACCAAUUGCGAAGGCAGGUCACUAAGAUUUAACUGACGCUGAUGGACGAAAGCGUGGGGAGCGAACAGGAUUAGAUACCCCAGUAGUCCCUGUCUCUUAUAA